rnacentral:misc_RNA from 1 species
UUUCCGUAGGUGAACCUGCGGAAGGAUCAUUACAGUAGUCGCCCGGGUUGCCGCAAGGCCUCCCGGGCAACCUACCACCCUUUGUUUAUUACACUUUGUUGCUUUGGCAGGCCUGCCCUCGGGCUGCUGGCUCCGGCCGGCGAGCGCUUGCCAGAGGACCUAAACUCUGUUUGUCUAUACUGUCUGAGUACUAUAUAAUAGUUAAAACUUUCAACAACGGAUCUCUUGGUUCUG